UAAACUGAACAAUUCAAAAAAUCUUAGGCAAAACUAUAAACAUGGGUCACACGACUGUGUGGCCAGACCGUGUAACAGAUUGUGGUCGUGUGGAAAAUGUAAAAAUUACCAUACAGGAGAGACGACCGUGUGGGUGAGCUAUGGUCAUGACUAACCUAAGGUUUUUAGAGGCACAUAGUUGUAUGGUCCACUUGUGUGGUCCACCUGUCCGUGUGGAAAUUGUGUAGCCUUAAUCCUACACACGAUCACCACUAACUCACUUGGAAAAAAA
rnacentral:lncRNA from 1 species